GAUGAACGCUGGCGGCGUGCCUAAUACAUGCAAGUCGAGCGAACGGACGAGAAGCUUGCUUUUCUGAUGUUAGCGGCGGACGGGUGAGUAACACGUGGAUAACCUACCUAUAAGACUGGGAUAACUUCGGGACACCGGAGCUAAUACCGGAUAAUAUUUUGAACCGCAUGGUUCAAAAGUGAAAGACGGUCUUGCUGUCACUUAUUGAUGGAUCCGCGCUGCAUUAGCUAGUUGGUAAGGUAACGGCUUACCAAGGCAACGAUGCAUAGCCGACCUGAGAGGGUGAUCGGCCACACUGGAACUGAGACACGGUCCAGACUCCUACGGGAGGCAGCAGUAGGGAAUCUUCCGCAAUGGGCGAAAGCCUGACGGAGCAACGCCGCGUGAGUGAUGAAGGUCUUCGGAUCGUAAAACUCUGUUAUUAGGGAAGAACACAUGUGUAAGUAACUGUGCACAUCUUGACGGUACCUAAUCAGAAAGCCACGGCUAACUACGUG
rnacentral:rRNA from 1 species